AGAGAUAGGAAGGCUAGGAGGAGAGGAAGGAGGCCCUGAGGUUCUUUACCCAAAGAAGUUCUCAAAGUGAGAAUUUUGGAGGAGGAAUCAUCUUAAAGAGUUGGUGUCUUGAUCAAAGUCCUGUGUGGAUCACCAUUGGAGGACGAACACUUGGGUGCCUGAUGGAGGUGAUAUAUAUCAUGCCUGGAUAUAGAUAAUUCGAUGGUGUUGAUUUACAAGCUUUUCAUGAUAAAUCAUAUUCUGAUCAGCCCUAAAUAUAGAAUCGAGGCUCGGAUGAAGAUGCAGAUGGAGGCGAUGAGGCAGAACUAUGAUACAGUGAUAUCCUCCAUGAGGACUCAAAUUGAGCCGUUGACAUCCAUGAUACAGAUGUUUGUAAACUCUUCUUGGAUUUUCGAUAGUUUCAACAGUCGUAGAGUCAAUGACAAUCAUACUUCUACGGACGGACUAUUGAUAGCCUGAUGCCGUUCUAUUUUUUUGAGUUGUAUAUAAGUAUAUUAAUUUUGUUAUGGUUUCUGUUAUGGUUUGUAAUUAAUGAAUAUGAUGGACAAAGUAAUCAUGUUUUUCUAAUAAAUAUAUAUUU